UUGGACCGAUUAGGAUUUGUCAGUCCUGCUAUAAGCAUGAAACACGAACGUUGGGUUCAGAGGCAUGCUUUGGUGCACAUACGCCAUCUCAACAAAGUUGCGUUUCCUCUCGGAGGAGAGAGAAAGUGAGCUCCCUGCUUGUGACAGCAGCGGCAGGACCGUCAAAACAGGCCUUGCGGUGUACGCAACAUUUCCACCAGCGGGUCAUGAACUCGUCAACACAGUUGUACAAGUGGGAGCGUUCAAGGAAAACAACCACAACAAACGGAAGAUAACCCCCCCACACACACCCUCACCGUUUUAGCGGCUUCCGCCCACGUCCUCCCCUUCUUUUUCUUCUGUCUCUCCCUCAUCGUGGACGUCCCGUGGCCCUGUGGAGUUUGGAGCGACCGUUUCUAAUGAAAUGUUGCUUUAGUCACCGUGCAAGACCUACUCUAUCUGCCAUGUUGGACUUACUGUAAAGCGUCACGUGACAUGGAAACGUCACCCGUGUACUAAAACCCAUCAGGGGCUCGUCUGAUGUGGUCCUUCCAAAGAAAGAUAUGUGGCAGAGGAUGGUCUUUGUCUCUGAGAGGGGGAGCAGCUCUGAAGUUCUGAUGUCAAAAUAGUGGAGGAUGAGGAGGAUGUGACAGAUGCUGGGACUGGGAUUUCCUGACCCGCAAGGAUGAAGCACCUCUUGCGUGCACGUUUAGUGAUAGAUCCGGCAUCAGCCUGGGGGUGAAGGCUCUCUCUAAGCAUUCACCGUUUAAGUUCAGAGUGAACAUGGUUGGCGGGGACAUAUCCAACUCCAACAGCAUGAUAUUUUCUGCCUGUAAGAAGAGAUAAUAAACUUGUUAUAAAAGCAGAGUCCUAAACAAUUCAAAUGGUCUUCAAUCAUGUUGAGGUACAGGAUAAUGGUCAAUUACCUGAAUUAUUUAAAUUGUCUUGCAAACAUUUCCCUUAGACCUUUUAACAUCUUAUCACAUUACAACUGCAGACCUUAGUAUUUAGGGAUUUAUGAUACGCACAGACAACUAAGAAGUGCAAAGGAAACUAUGGAUGAAUUGAAAAGUGUGGCAUGCAUUUGUAUUCUGACCUCCUGAGUCAAUACGUUGCAAGGCCACCUUUGAGUUUAAUGAUGCUUUAAGUUUUCUUUAUAUCUUUAUCAACAUUAAACAUCCCAAGACAAGUUUUAUGCUUGAGAUAUAGCUAUUGUGGAGUAAAAAAUGUUGAGGUAUGUCUGUUCUUAGCCUCACAGGCUCCAAACGAAGGUCAUGAGAGAUAAGAAUGAGUUCACACAGCCUCCUUCAUGGCAUGAAUAGGAGGACUGCUGUUUUGAGAAGAUCCAGCUGGCCAGUGAAAUUUAUAUGAACCUAACAGGAAAAGUUCAAGAUGAACUGAAGUUGUCUUCCUCCAGAUGUUUAAGUGUGAGAAAGUUCUUUGUGCAGGGGUGGGAUGGUUCCAUGGGAGAGAGAGAGUGUUGGGAUUUUGUAAGGUAUAAAUUAGGGAUGCACGAUAUUGGGAUUUUGGCCGAUAUCCGAUAUGCCGAUAUUUUAAAACUCAUGUAGCCGAUAACCGAUAUCGAUACCGAUGUUAAAGCUGGACAAA